UACGGGGGGAGCAAGCGUUGUUCGGAUUUACUGGGCGUAAAGGGCGCGUAGGCGGCCACCGCAAGUCGACUGUGAAAUCUCCGGGCUUAACCCGGAAAGGUCAGCCGAUACUGCGGGGCUAGAGUGCAGAAGGGGCAACUGGAAUUCUCGGUGUAGCGGUGAAAUGCGUAGAUAUCGAGAGGAACACCUGCGGCGAAGGCGGGUUGCUGGGCUGACACUGACGCUGAUGCGCGAAAGCCAGGGGAGCAAACGGGG
rnacentral:rRNA from 1 species